CAUUAUACAGAAGCUUUGCCAGCUAAUCUCACAAACAUGUAGAAAUACGCUUAUCUAAUUUUAUUUCGGCAACAUGGAAUCUUGUGUUUAUAAAAAUUAUAUUUUGCUAGUAAUAGGGAUUCUCUUUCAGCAAACGAAGAAGCAAUGGAGAAGGUACCUAAAUUCAAAAGCAGGAGAGUAGAGGCAACCUUUUCCAGUUCAAUGAGAACACUACUUCAACUUUACUGUAUACUCUCAAUGGUGUGGGAAGCUUUUCUAUUGCUGUUUUUUAUAAAUGCAGCACUCGAGAAGUUUUCAAAGGGAUGAAAUACAAGAGGCUGAAGGUCAUAAGCUAGUGGUUCUAUAAUGGAUGGAUAAGGCUUUCGAAUGUUAUGAAGGAGAUGAGGAGCUGCCUAUCAUCACUGACAUGGGCACAUGGCUAUUGUAAAAUUGGUACAACAAGACUACCUUCGGCAAGGAUAUAUACACUACAGAUAUAUAUAUUUAUUGCAAAUAUCAAGUAUGAAUAUCAAGUAUCAAGUAACAAUAUCAAGUACCUUGAGAAAUAUCAAGUAACAAUAUCAAGAGCUGUAAAUUAGUUACCACCUCCUCGCUAACACUUCUCUGAUCACUAAUAAUCCAUACCCAAAUGCCCUCUGCACCAACCCACUACACUAUAUAUAUGCAGAGAACUCAAAAUGUACGUACUAGACAACGCGCAACCAUUCUUGAUCAUUUAACGGAAUCACAAACUUAAUAACACCAGACUUAUGCAGGGGUGCUUGCACAAUAAACCAAACUUAAUAAAAUCCAAACUACAGAGCAUAAGAAAAUCAAAACCUUAACUGAUACACCCAGAAAAUCCAUGCAUAGGCAUUUUACAAACACAAACACAAACUAAUUUACUAUACUUAACACAAACAAAAACACAAACACAAACUAAUUUACACAAAAUCUCAUAAAACAGAUCAAACAACUAAGACAACUAAAAUAGAGCCGGAUU
rnacentral:lncRNA from 1 species